UCGGGCAGUGUAGUCGGUAGCGCGCUCCCUUAGCAUGGGAGAGGUCUCCGGUUCGAUUCCGACUCGUCCAAU
rnacentral:tRNA from 1 species